rnacentral:lncRNA from 1 species
CCCUCUAAACUUUUGCCACCGUUAGAAAUUAAAUACACUCAUAAACUAUAUAAAAUAGAUAUUAUACACCCCAGAUAUUCUAACUCAAUCUAAAAAAAAAUAGUGGGCUCCAGUGGCACGUCUCCCUCCUCGCUUUCUUCCACUAAACGACUAAUGAUAUCAUGAAGUGCCUGUUCACUCUGAUGAAAAAAAAAACCUUAUCAAAUUUUGCUAAAAUUUUGGUAGGAUUUCUUAUAUAGUUACUAAAAUUUAGCAGCAAACUAAAUAUAGCCACUUUUUUUAGCAACUUUACUAAAAUUUGAUAAAAUAAAAAAUGACAUUAAAAUGAAUAGGCCCAAAAUGAAACGGCAGGAGUAGCAGCAGUCGUUUCAGCAUCAACCAUCGUAGAACAAUAUCAUUACAGCAAUAACGUCCCACUAACCAGUCCAGUAAAAAUUUACGCCGCAGUAAAUACUCCUACAGUACAAACCUCACCAGUAUAAAACGAGAAGCUAGCGAACCACCUGCAGGAGGCGCCAGGCGGGUUGCAAGCAAACACACAACCCACCCGUCGUUGGGUCAGCCACGUGCACCGCGACCGAGCCGGACCAGUUUGGUCUCGGACAGUCGGACCCGAGUCAAUCCUUCAGCCUCAGGUGCGGCGUCCGCCCGCCACGUGUCCUCGCCUCACCAAUCAUCACCCAUCCUUCUCUUCUCGGCCCCACCAACUCUGUCUCUCUCUCUCUCUCUCUCUCUCGCUGCUCGCGCAAAAACCCCAACUGCGUCGCCGUGCUCGCCGGCUCGCCGCCUCGGCCUCGCCGCGCGCUCUCUCGCCGCCGGUGUCUGGACGACGAGGAGGUGAGUCCGUACGCCUCGCCUCUGUGUUGUUCUUCGUGUUCGCUGCUUCGGUUCGUCGUGUUGUGAUGUGAUGGCGUGUUGGAUGAUGUGUGUAACAGCUAAUUUGGUGCGGGUUUUUUGGGCGUGGUGGUGGUGGUGGUGGUGGUGGGGUGAUUUGCAGGGCGGGUGGCGGCGGGGGAUGGAUCGCUGGGAGGCGUUGAUCGCCGCCGCCGCGCGGCGGAGCGAGCCGCCGAGAAGCGGGUGGGCGGAGUGGGGCGGGGGCGGCGACGCUCGCGCGGGCGCGGCCGCGCUUCCGUCUCGCUGUCCCCGUCGUCCCGUGGCUGCUGCGGGUGGGAGAGGCGAGGGGGGUGAUAGAAUGCGGGGGCGAGGCGGGGAGGAAGGGACGUGGACGGCUCAUGGUGGAGGCGGACGAGGUGCGGAGCGCGCGGGCGCGGUGGUGGCGCCGACGAGGACAGCGGACGCGGCGGGGACGGGGACGGGGAGGAACGCGGUGGCCGUCGGCGGUGGCGCGGCGGAGGAUGGUAGGAGAACGCCCUCUGUUUCUGUUCGUCACGUCCUCUGCUUGGGUUUCGUCGAAUGCCUGGGAUGCGUGACUGUUAAUUUGGUCCUCUUUGUGUGUUCAGUGGUGGUGAUUGUAUCAGGGCGGCGAUCGGUGGGCGAGCCGACGCUGGACGUCUCUGAGAUGCUGCUCCAGGCGGCGCAGGCAUGGAGAAGCCGGCGCACGCAGCGGGAAGCUCGCCCGGACGCGCUUCCACCUCGCCAUCCUCCUCGUCCCGUCGCCGCGGAUGGGCGCGGGGGCUCAGGCGAGGGGACCAGUAGAGCGCGGGGGCGCGGCGAGGAGGGGACGGCUCGUGGCGGAGAUGGCGAGAUGAUGGCGCUGGUGAGAACAGUGGAUGUGGCCGUGGCCGGUGGUUUGGCCACGCUCACGCACGGCGGCGAGCGGGAUGCUGGCGCGGCGGUGGCGACGGAGGAGAAGAGAAAUGGCGGCGAGGUGGGGACGAAGAGGGGGAUGGAGGAGCGGGCCGCGCGUUCGCCGCCGCCGCCCAAGCGGAGCGCGGUGUCCUCCGUUCGCCAGCUUCCUCCAGGUUGCGGAAGGGACGCCGCUCUUCCACUCGGGCGCCGCCACGGCCGCGGCCGCGAUGGCGACGGUGGUGUUCCUCCUCUCGCUGGCAACAGAACUGAUUUGCCGUUGGAAGCUGUGGUGGAUGGUGGUGAUCCAAUUGCAAAUGUGCAUCAAAUCUUCAGCAAAUCUUCGCAUGCUACGGAUGAGAAUCAGGUCGCUUGCAAAGUUGGUUCACUGGAGGAUGUUGUACAAGAAGGGGCAGCAAAUAGUGGUGAAUUGCUGGGGUGGAAGCAAGUGUUAGCUCAAGCCGCGAAUGUGCUUCCCAAGAGGAGGAUGGUAUCCGCGACGCGCCGCUUCCCUCCUGGAUGUGGGAGGGACGUUAAGACUGGUUCAGGUUUGGAAUUCAUGGCUGUUGAUGCUUCUUGUGGUGGUGUGUCAAAGGAGGUGGUGGCUUCGGAUGGCGGUGAUAGUUUGGUUAGCCAGGAAUUGGAGGAGGGUGAGGUGGCUGAUGAGGCAUACUCUGAUGUAGAUUCACAAAAUGUUGCUGUGGAUGAUUCCAUGGCUGCAGCUACUGAAGAUGUUAAGGUGAUGAACAAAUGCAAAGGGACCUUACCCAGAGCCGCUGCUGAACCUUGUGCUGAGGGUCCUUCCAAAGAACAUUUUAAGGGUACGAGGGAGUGUGAAAAUGAUAGGAUGGGAAAAUCAUCCAUGAAUGUUGCAACAGAAGUAUUUGGUGAUGGUAUGAUGAGAAGUAAGAUACUAUUGACAGCUAGAAAAGCAGUCAAGUCACCACUGAACACUCUGCAUAGAUGGCCCUUCUCUAAGGGAAAAGAGGAGUGUGCUGUAACAAAUAGUGCUCCAUUUGGUCCUAAGAAGAAGUUUAAGGUAAAAGGUGCAUAUCAAACUAAAGAUAUUCCUAUCAAGAUUGUCUCUACACCUGGAUUAGGGGGCAAGGACAACCUUGUCGACAAAGAGGCUUUGAUCUUGGAAGAUGAUGAUAUUUUGAAGGCACUAGCUGUUCAUGAUGGAAAACUUAAGUUGUAUCUCAAUGCUUCCUCAUCUGUUCAGCGUCACGGGCAACAUGGAAGUGGGAAUGCUAAUGAUAGGAGGAAAACCAUGAUGCUGUGCAGGAGGUUUCAGUUUAUACACAGGGCUCUUGUACAUGCUGUCAAACAGGGCUCGUUGAAGGUUCUAAGAGCUGACCUUGAAGCUGAUAAAAUCGUUCGGAAAUUGCCGGGCUUUAUCAAACCUGGACCUAUUGUGGGAAAUGUUCGUGGAGUCGAAGUCGGUGACGAAUUUCUAUACAGAGUUGAGCUAGCCCUUGUUGGUCUCCACCGUCCAUACCAGGGAGGAAUCGAUACCACCGAUCAUAAUGGAGUGCUUGUUGCAAUAAGCAUCGUUGCUUCUGGAGGUUAUCCCGAUAGAUUGUCAAGUUCAGGUGAACUCAUAUACACUGGUUCUGGAGGACAGCCUGCUGGUAAGAAGAAAGGUGAGGAUCAAAAGCUAGAGAGGGGAAAUCUUGCCUUGAAGAAUUGCAUCAAGACAAAGACACCUGUCCGAGUGAUUCAUGGAUUCAAAGGCCAAAAUGGCAAGGAUGACAGUUAUUCAAGGGCUAAACAAAUCUCAGCAUUUACUUAUGAUGGGUUGUAUCGUGUGGUGGAUUACUGGAGAGAAGGUCUAAAAGGUUCUAUGGUCUUCAAAUACAGACUACAAAGAAUUCAUGCUGGUCGAUGAGGUUGAUCAUCUAAAUCUUUUCUAGUAAGCUUAUUAUUUAGUCUUAACAAAUGAUUCAGGCAGUAAAUGGUACAAUGAGAUUCUUUUCUACACCAUGGAUACUUACGCCAAUCUAAACUCUCUUGCUUGUUAGGUACAGAAUCAAGAUGUAUUUUUUUUGUCCUGGGUGAUAUAAUUAGCUUAGAAGGACAAGAAGUUACAUGGGCCUGGUUGAAGGUAUGUUAUAGUUGCAGGGUAUCUAAAGGGGACAUUUUACUGUACCCCUAUUGGUUAUGGUAGUAGUGUAGUAGGAAGCAGAUCAUCUAAAGCUAUGGCUAUUUUAGUCAUGUACUUCGUUAAGGUGAAGGGGCAAUUUAGUCUUCCGAUUAUCCCAAUCGAAGCAAAACAGGACUCGUUGGUUUGUUAGAUCGGCCCAAGCCUCAUUCUGCAUCUCGACGCACGACGGCCAAACCACAGCGCCGUCCAUAUUUGUAUGCAUUUUCCAGAGGUAUCUUUGCGAUAACAACCAUGCAAUCUUAGAUAUAUUUGUGAAAAGAAAAAAGUGCAUGCAUUGGAAUAUAACCGUUUCUUGCCUUGUGCAAAAGCUACCACUUCUCCUUCAGUGUGUACUUGGAUCAUAGAAGGUGACACCUUCAAAAUGCACCAGACAAGAUGCCAGUAACAAGAACAUGAGUAUGUGGAUUGGAUUGUCAAUCACCAAAACCCCUGAAUUCAGCUGUGCACCACAGCUGCCGUGGGUUAGCUCGUAUAAGAGUGUGCCCAAAUAUGAAAAUCACACUCAUGAAAAUCAAAAUCAUUUCUAUUAACAAGAUGCAGUAAAAUCAUGACAACAUCCUGAAGAAAAUUUGGUUAGCUGAUAGAAGUCAUAGAACAAAAUGUAUUUCAAAAUAUAUUCCAUCACUGAUUUCAAUUUCAGGAGCCCAAUUUUUGUACUAACUAUUUAACUGUAGGAAAGCUUACUAUAAACCAAUGAAAAAAAGAAAGCAUUAUAUGAUGACUUGUCUGAAUUACAGAAUAUGUGGCGUAGUUGUCCACUUACAAAUGAAUUCAUCAACUAAUUGAUCUCAAGGUUAUUCCAGAUUGUAGAUAGGAGCACAUCUCAAGCUUCAAUUAAAAAUCCAUCCAAAAUACGAAUUGAAGGACAAAAGUGACCAGAAUUAGGAAUGCAUACUCUAAUACUCUAUUCUCAGGAGUCAGGACAGUUAGAUAACCUGCUGGCUGUUGUGCUGGUAGCCUUGGCAUUUUCACCUUCACGUGUCAAUAAAAAAGAGUAAAUAUGACUUUCGUGGAGAAUUGCUUGAGUACAGUGUACACUGGAUGGGAUCACCUAUACAUUUGUCGACAAAUUCUCUUCUAAAAAUUUGACAAAUGAAAUUAUAGGACAAUUGUGAUGUAGGCUGUGUUUAGUUUACACCAAAAUUGGAAGUUUGGUUGAAAUUGGAACGAUGUGACGAAAAAGUUAGAAGUUUGUGUGUGUAAAGUUUUGAUGUGAUAGAAAAGUUGGAAGUUUGAAGAAUUAUUUUGGAACUAAACACGGUGGUAAUUUCACUGUAACUAUUAUAACUUGUAUGUAACUUUUAAAAGUUUCUUCGUAGUAUACUAUUUCGGUGAAACGGAAGUCGUGGGAACGAAUCCUCUGACAUAUGUGUGUGUUAUUUUUUUCCUUCCUCACUUGCACAAAUCUUGAAACAAAUCUAACGGUCCAAAAUUAUGUGAAAGUUAUGUAUAAGUUAGACUGUAGUUACAUGCAAGUUACAGUAUAAUUACAUGUAAGUUACAUUAUAAUUACAUUACGAUUGUUCUGUAUUACAUCUGCCAAAUUUUUAGGAGAAAAUUUAUCGACAAAUGUAUAGCAAAAUUGUUUUGUAAUAUAUUGAUUAGAAAAUUCUCAAUCUCACUCUUCAUAGUAUGGUUUUGAAUCUCAAGGGUGAUGUUUUCCGGUGGCGAAAAUGGGCGUGAAGUGUCGCUCGAACUCCUGGAAGGGGUGAGAGUCGAAGCACUAGAACACAUGCGCAAGUACACGGAAGGCACUUCGGCAACCUAUAACAAGAAGGUUCGACCGAUAGAACUCCGGCCCGGCCAUCUCGUACUAUCCUAACCUAUAUUUUUCCUUCAAAUUUAAAAUCGGGUAUAGGUAGUGCCGGAUCGGAUAACAUGUCACUUGUGCCGUAUCACAUUCCAUAUUAAUUUCUCGAAAUCGGAUACAUGAAAGAAUUUCUAUGUGCAAUUCAUGCAUAUUAAAUAUAGAGGGGCAAUUAAAGUACCAAAAGAGAUAAAGCAAGAAAACAUUUAUGUAAUAUUACCUAUGAUAUUAUAAACUAGUGUAAUCAAUAUUUUAUCAUGUUUGUAGGUGAACUUAUAACAGAUUUUCAUAUAUGUAUAAUAAUAAUAUGGGAAUACGAGUGGACACAACUUUUCCCUUAUUAAAACAUAUCUUUUACGAAUUUGGAUUCGAACUUGGAUAGUAUCGAAUAUCCAUUUUCUCUCCCAUGUUCUUGUGAGCCUCAGGCCAGGCAGGUGGUCGGAAAAUGCCCGUCCCAUUUUCGCCCGUAGUAAGAACUAGAAAAAAAAAUCUGAAUUUACCCCUGAACUAUUGACACCAUCCGAGUAACCCCAUAAAUUACAAAACCAGACAUAUCUACGCCCCUAAACUUUUCAAACCAGACAACAAAACCCCUAACUCAAUCCGAAGCGGUUUGGAUUUUAGGUGACAUACAUGUGUUAGUCCAAACAACAAAAAGUAAUAAAAAAAUAGUGGGCUCGGUCAGUCUCCCUCCUCGCUUUCGUCCACUUCCAUCUCUCUCUCUCUACCCCCAAGUCCUAACAGAAAGGAGGGAGGUGGCGGAAGCUCAGCUGCCGGAGGAAGACCGUGGCAAAGGAGGCGUCCUCGGGCAUCGAGGUGCAUCAUGACCUCCCGUGGAGGCGGCGGAGGCGCUAGCUAGCACAGAGCACUUGACGACUUUGGUCUUGCAUCGAUGCCUCGACGCACGCGCGACUGCUUCUAGGAUAGAUGGUGAUGUGCUCGAAAAUGGCUCACCAAAGCCAUGAUCUUGAUCACUUGGUGGAUCUGGAAGGAGCACAUUGUGCGUAUCUUCGGCAGAGUUCAGCGCCAUGGUGUUGCAGACCUAGUCUAGUGUGUGGCGGUAGCUAUUAGCGGUUUAAGAACCUUGAGGCGGUCUUGCUUUAAGCGGUAUGAGAUGGUCUUACCUUGGCAAAACUAGUUUCCUGAGAUUUUAUAUUCUAAAAUCCUUUUAAAAUCUAACAAAAUUUAGACGGCGUCCUUCGACCGCUCAGUGAAAAAAACUAAAAAUUAUGGUCGAAGUUUUAGAAUUGGACCAAAAUUAUCUAAAACAUAACCAAGUGAGUACAAAAUCUAUUAGGAAAACAAGAGGAGUGUUACUAUCCCUAAAUAGUAUGGUCUCCGUUUCAUAUUAUAAGUUGUUUUUAUUUUUUUUCUAGUCAAACACUUUUGGUUUGAUCAACUUUAUAGAAAAAUAUAGUAACAUCUGCAACACUAAUUUAGUUUAACUAAAUAUAAUAUUAAAUAUAUUUUGGUAAUAUGUUUGUCUUGCGUAAACUGGAUCAAACUUAAACGACUAAGAGCAGGUACAAUAACAGACUAUAAGCCAGCUAUAAAUAUAUUUUAAGGAGAUAAAAGAGGAAAGAUAAGAGCAGCGGGCUACAGAUUUAUAGCUAGCUACAACACAGACUCCAAGACACAUGUGUGUAUGAUAGAUGAGACCAUAUAUUGAUUGUGUAGUAUAUGUUUAUAUGUACUUCCUCCGUUUCAGGUUAUAAGAUAUUUUGAUUUUGGCCAAAGUCAAAUAGCUUUAAGUUUAACCAAAUUUGUAGAAAAAGGUAGUAACAUUUUUAACACAAGACAAAUUUAUUAUGAAAAUAUAUUCAAUUAUUGAUUUGAUGAAACUAAUUUAAUAUUAUAAAUAUUAUUAUAUUUUCUAUAAACUUAAUGAAACUUAAAAUAAUUUGACUUUAACCAAAGUUAAAACGUUUUAUAAUCUAAAACGGAGGGAUUAACUAUUGUAUAAAUUGGCUAUUAAGUUAAUUAUUAAUGAUUUAGAGCCAAUAGUUUACUAUACCAUUAAACUUGCACUAAUGAUAUCAUGAAAUGAAACGGCGGGAGUAGCAGCAGCCGUUUCAGCAGCUACCAUCGUAGAACAGCAUCAUUGCCACAAUAAUGCCCACUACCAGUCUACUAAUUUACGCCGCAGUAAAUACUCCUACUCCAAUGCAAACCUCACCGGUACUAUAUAAAACGAGAAGGCGCCAGGCGGGUUGCAAGCAAACACACGACCCACCCGUCGUUGGGUCAGCCACGUGCACCGCGACCGAGCCGGACCAGUUUGGUCUCGGACAGUCGGACCCGAGUCAACCUUCAGCCUCUGGUGCGGCGUCCGCCCGCCACGUGUCCUCGCCUCACCAAUCAUCACCCAUCCUUCUCUUCUCGGCCCCACCAACUCUCUCUCUCUCUCUCUCUCUCGCUGCUCGCGCAAAAACCCCAACUGCGUCGCCGUGCUCGCCGCCUCGCCGCCUCGGCCUCGCCGCGCGCUCUCUCGCCGCCGGUGUCUGGACGACGAGGAGGUGAGUCCGUACGCCUCGCCUCUGUGUUGUUCUUCGUGUUCGCUGCUUCGGUUCGUCGUGUUGUGAUGUGAUGGCGUGUUGGAUGAUGUGUGUAACGGCUAAUUUGGUGCGGGUUUUUUGGGCUUGGUGGUGGUGGUGGUGGUGAUUUGCAGGGCGGGUGGCGGCGGG